UUGACGGGAUAUUUUGGUCAUAAGGUUGAACUCAUGACUACCAAAAAGCCCCCACAGUUUGAAUCCUGCUGUAAAUACUGUUUCCUUUCCUUUGUAAAAUAUUCUUAAUUCUAUACAGAUUUAACGGAAAAGCACUCCUGGGAGCAGUUGAAAAAAAAAAGAAAAUUUAAGAGUGGAUCACUGUGUUGACCACAUGACACCUUCAUAAACUUUCAUUCUUUUUCAUUAGGGCCUAGCCUUUCUUUAGUUCCCUUAUACAUCUUUACUUGUGAAGGGAAAACUUCACUAACUGGGUGUGGGUCUCUGAGAGUAUAAGUUUUGGGUUAGGUGGUUAGAUAAUUCAUAGGUCAAAGGUUAGGCUGUACCCACCAUAAUGUGCAUGCUUUAUGAGGUAUUGAUAAAUUAAUUUUAAAAAAUUACUUUACUUGUCUAGUCAACUUAAGAAUA